AGGGUUGAGUUCCGAUGAUUGCAUGUCAAAAUUAAGGUUGCUGCUGAACUACCGGAGCUUUUGGCUGCUGUCAGAGCUGCUGUUGAGUCAGUUCGUAGGCUGCUGCUUCGUUCUUUUGUUGCACCGCCGCUGUUGCGGGUCGAGGAAAAAUGGAAUUAUAGUGUUAAAAUCGUUGCGGGCUUGAUUCCUUGAGAUUUUCUUUUCAGUCACAGGUUCAGGAAGCUUUGGCGCGAAGUCGCAU